UACGUAGGGGGCCAGCGUUGUCCGGAUUUAUUGGGCGUAAAGAGCGUGUAGGCGGCCAGGUAGGUCUGGUGUGAAAACUCGAGGCUCAACCUCGAGAUGUCAUCGGAAACCAUCUGGCUAGAGUCCGGAAGAGGAGAGUGGAAUUCCUGGUGUAGCGGUGAAAUGCGCAGAUAUCAGGAAGAACACCUAUGGCGAAGGCAGCUCUCUGGGACGGUACUGACGCUGAGGCGCGAAAGCGUGGGUAGCAAACAGG
rnacentral:rRNA from 1 species